AGUGAACGCUGGCGGUAGGCCUAACACAUGCAAGUCGAACGGCAGCACAGUAAGAGCUUGCUCUUACGGGUGGCGAGUGGCGGACGGGAGAGGAAUACAUCGGAAUCUACUUUUUCGUGGGGGAUCACGUAGGGAAACUUACGCUAAUACCGCAUACGACCUACGGGUGAAAGCAGGGGAUCUUCGGACCUUGCGCGAUUGAAUGAGCCGGUGUCGGAUUAGCUAGUUGGCGGGGUAAAGGCCCACCAAGGCGACGAUCCGUAGCUGGUCUGAGAGGAUGAGCAGCCACACUGGAACUGAGACACGGUCCAGACUCCUACGGGAGGCAGCAGUAGGGAAUAUUGGACAAUGGGCGCAAGCCUGAUCCAGCCAUACCGCGUGGGUGAAGAAGGCCUUCGGGUUGUAAAGCCCUUUUGUUGGGAAAGAAAAGCAGCAGGUUAAGACCCCGCGGUUCUGACGGUACCCAAAGAAUAAGCACCGGCUAACUUCGUG
rnacentral:rRNA from 1 species